rnacentral:lncRNA from 1 species
GUUUGAGGGCAAACACUGUUGGAGAAGCUAUUCAGCAGCAGGAGAAGGGGCCUCCAGAAGAAGCAGAGAAGUUUUGCUCAGGGAUCAUUGCCAUGGCUCUUCUCCUUUCUUUUAGUGAUUGCUUCAGGGAACCAUGUAAUCAGAAUGUCCAGAUGAGUGCAGCUUCGUUUGAUGUUUUGAACAAAACUUUGUACAGAAGCUUAUAUCAAUAUACAAAGAUCAUGGAUGCUUGUAGAUACAAUGAACCACAAAUGAAAAUUUGAGGUCAGCCAUCCAUCAUUAGAGGCAAAAUCGAUACAGGCUUCCUGGACAGAAUAGGUCGGGUUACUGACACUGCCUCCUGGGGAUGCACUGCUGGGGGGUCCUCCAUGCCCCCCCUGGGGCUGAAAGUGGACCUCAGACAAAAUUUUGUUCAGAGAUUUCAUUGACUGUGUCUCCAAAGCAAGUAUCAGUCCAGCUCGACAGCCAUCAGCCCACGCAGAGCAUCUCACAGCCUCCACCACCCCCAUCCCUUCUGUGGUCUGAUGGUCAAGGACAGCCUGGGUCACAGCUGCCCCAUACUUCUCUCUCUACUGAGUUUCACACCAGCCACGAACACUCUGUUUUCUCUACUUUGAAAACAGCUGUAACAACCCAUCCCCACCACCUCUGCCUUGCACAGAGUCUUCCAGCUCCAUGCCUGGCCUGCGCAUAGUGCCUCCCCCACCUCCCCUUCUCCCUGGCAUGACAGUGCUUACUCUGCCCAGUACAGCCAUUCCCCUACCUCCUCCUCUGCUAGGUACAGAAAUGCUGCCAUCCCCUCCCCCUCCUCUACCCAGAGUGGGAAUACCUCCUCUGCCCCCUCUACCCAGAGUGGGAAUACCUCCCCGCCCCCACUCCCCAGAGUGGGCAUACCGCCUCCUCCCCUUCUUCCCGGAGCUGGAAUACCCUCUCUGCCCCCUGUACCCGGAGUGGGAAUACCCCUUCCACCCCCUCUACCUGAAGCAGGAAUACCUCCUCCACCCCAACUUCCUGGAGCAGGAAUACCUCCUCCGCCCCCUCUACCCAGAGUGGGAAUACAUCCUCCACCCACUCUACCCCCUCUACCUGGAGUGGGAAUACCCCCUCCACCCCCUCUACCUGAAGUGGGAAUACCUCCUCUGCCCCCUCUACCUGGUGCUGGGAUUCCCCCACCUCUUCCCUUGCCAGGUAUGGGGAUUCCACCUGCUCCAGCUCCCCCUCCCAUUUCACCUGAGAGAGGAAUCCCCCCACCCACUCUGCUUCUUCCAUCAGGCCCUCCACUCCUCCCACAAGUUGGGAGGAGCAUUUUACUAACACCACAGGUGUGUGGGUUUCUUCCUCCUCCAUUGACAAAUGGCUUGUUUGGAUUAGGGAUGAAUCAGGACAAAGGGAGUAGGAAGCAGCCCAUAGAGCCUUGUCGACCAGUGAAGCCUCUUUACUAGACAAGAAUUCAACUACAUAGUAAAAGAGACUCCAGUGCUUCACUUAUUUGGGAAAAAAAAUUGAAGAGCCAUCUAUAGAUUGUCAUGAAUUUGAGGAAUUGUUUUCUAAAACUGCUGUAAAGGAGAGAAAGAAACCUAUCUCUGAUACCAUCUCAAAGUUGACAGCUAAACAAUGCUAAAAG